rnacentral:rRNA from 1 species
UACGUAGGGUGCGAGCGUUAAUCGGAAUUACUGGGCGUAAAGCGUGCGCAGGCGGUUUUGUAAGACAGAGGUGAAAUCCCCGGGCUUAACCUGGGAACUGCCUUUGUGACUGCAAGGCUUGAGUGCGGCAGAGGGGGAUGGAAUUCCGCGUGUAGCAGUGAAAUGCGUAGAUAUGCGGAGGAACACCGAUGGCGAAGGCAAUCCCCUGGGCCUGCACUGACGCUCAUGCACGAAAGCGUGGGGAGCAAACGGG